GGGCCUAUAGCUCAGUUGGUUAGAGCACACGCCUGAUAAGCGNGAGGUCGNUGGUUCAAGUCCAUUUAGGCCCA
rnacentral:tRNA from 1 species